rnacentral:rRNA from 1 species
GACAGAGGGGGCAAGCGUUGCUCGGAAUUACUGGGCGUAAAGGGCGCGUAGGCGGGGAUGGCAAGUCGGUCGUGAAAUCCCUCGGCUCAACCGAGGAACGUCGAUCGAUACUGCUGUUCUUGAGGAUUGCAGAGGAGACUGGAAUUCCCGGUGUAGCGGUGAAAUGUGUAGAGAUCGGGAGGAACACCGGUGGCGAAGGCGGGUCUCUGGGCAAUUCCUGACGGCUGAGGCGCGAAAGCGUGGGGGAGCAAACGGG